UGGGGAAUAUUGCACAAUGGGCGCAAGCCUGAUGCAGCCAUGCCGCGUGUGUGAAGAAGGCCUUCGGGUUGUAAAGCACUUUCAGCGGGGAGGAAGGCGAUAAGGUUAAUAACCUUGUCGAUUGACGUUACCGACAGAAGAAGCACCGGCUAACUCCGUGCCAGCAGCCGCGGUAAUACGGAGGGUGCAAGCGUUAAUCGGAAUUACUGGGCGUAAAGCGCACGCAGGCGGUUGAUUGAGUCAGAUGUGAAAUCCCCGGGCUUAACCCGGGAAUUGCAUCUGAUACUGGUCAGCUAGAGUCUUGUAGAGGGGGUAGAAUUCCAUGUGUAGCGGUGAAAUGCGUAGAGAUGUGGAGGAAUACCGGUGGCGAAGGCGGCCCCCUGGACAAAGACUGACGCUCAGGUGCGAAAGCGUGGGGAGCAAACAGG
rnacentral:rRNA from 1 species